UACGGAGGGUGCAAGCGUUGUCCGGAUUUAUUGGGCGUAAAGGGCGCGUAGGCGGUCUUUUAAGUUCCGUGUGAAAUCCCUCGGCUCAACUGGGGAACUGCACGGGAAACUGGAAGGCUUGAGUUCGGGAGAGGGAAGCGGAAUUCCGGGUGUAGCGGUGAAAUGCGUAGAUAUCCGGAGGAACACCGGUGGCGAAGGCGGCUUCCUGGACCGACACUGACGCUGAGGCG
rnacentral:rRNA from 1 species